CCUACGGGUGGCAGCAGUGAGGAAUAUUGGUCAAUGGGCGAGAGCCUGAACCAGCCAAGUCGCGUGAAGGAUGACGGCCCUACGGGUUGUAAACUUCUUUUGUCAGGGAGCAAUUGGGUCCACGCGUGGGCUUAGCGAGAGUACCUGAAGAAAAAGCAUCGGCUAACUCCGUGCCAGCAGCCGCGGUAAUACGGAGGAUGCGAGCGUUAUCCGGAUUUACUGGGUGUAAAGGGAGCGUAGACGGUAUGGCAAGUCUGAAGUGAAAGCCCAGGGCUUAACCCUGGGACUGCUUUGGAAACUGUUAGACUAGAGUGCUGGAGAGGUAAGUGGAAGUCCUAGUGUAGCGGUGAAAUGCGUAGAUAUUAGGAGGAACACCAGUGGCGAAGGCGGCUUACUGGACAGUAACUGACGUUGAGGCUCGAAAGCGUGGGGAGCAAACAGGAUUAGAUACCCCUGUAGUC
rnacentral:rRNA from 1 species